rnacentral:rRNA from 1 species
UACGUAGGGAGCAAGCGUUGUCCGGAAUCAUUGGGCGUAAAGCGCGCGUAGGCGGCCUCAUAAGUCCGUUGUGAAAGUCAAAGGCUCAACCUUUGAAAGCCGAUGGAUACUGUGAGGCUAGAGUCCGGAAGAGGCGAGUGGAAUUCCUGGUGUAGCGGUGGAAUGCGCAGAUAUCAGGAGGAACGCCAAUAGCGAAGGCAGCUCGCUGGGACGGUACUGACGCUAAGGCGCGAAAGCUAGGGGAGCAAACGGG